CAUUGAAGCUUUACUUACUGUUUAACUAGUUUGAAAUGAAUCUGUUCUCUAGGCUUACAUCUGCAUUAAACUGCUAAUAGGAUUCAUCUUCAAUGUGGCAAUCGAACACUUCAUUCCCGUUCUGAACUGCUUUAAUGGCCUGGACUGCUAACAGGAAUCCUUCAACACAGAACACCUAUUUGAUAUUCUACCUACUGCUUCUCCAGCUACUCUGGGAUUCUUGCUAGAGAGAGAGAAGCAAAUUAGGCACCAAAUAGAGAGGCUUUCUAGGGCGUAUUAGAGGGCUUUAAUCAGUUAUCUUGCUAUCAGAAGAGAAAAUUUGCUAUUAAUUGGCAUGUAAUGACUGGCUAAUGACAUUUUCAUCUUUAACAGGUUUUCAGUUGCAUUAUCAAACUAAAAGUUGGCCAUCUAUCAUAGAAUAAAUUGCAUUCUUUGCAAGAAAGACGCUGGCUACCCCUUAAACUCCAAGAAUACCAUUAGUCAGGAGAAAAAAACUUGAGGAGAUAAUAGGAGAUAUUUGAUUGUUAGACCAGUGGAGAUUUUCAAUCAGUUUAAUGCCAUAUUUGAAUCCAAUAUCUGCCGUUAGUCCCUACAGUUCCUUGUUAUCACAUGGGUGUUGGAGAUUCCAAAGUUGAAAAAGGAAAAAAAAAGGCUUCAUUUUUACUCACCAUAAGAGACUUAAGUGGAUUACAAGCAUAAUUCUGUGAACUCUUACAAUCCAGAAAUUGAUCUAAAUUCCAGCACUUUACAUUCAUAUUAAACCACACUUUCCCCCCCUUACUACUAUAAUCUGCUUUGCUUUGUGUGUGUUCUAGACCAUCAGCCUCCCUGGGAACCUGGACAAUGUGACCUUGAAGGGCAAAGCUUUAAAAGAAGCCAUGGCUGACAGCAGAGCAAGGGUUGCUAUACACAGGGGAGAAAUGAGGCUAAAAAAGUACAAACCCAUUGCCCAUCCUGGGCCUUUCAGGAUCCCACAGGUGAGCUGGAAGAAAAAGGUUUCUAAUGACAUUCCCAGAUGAAGCUGAUGUGUUUCAGCUCACUUAGGAGAGGAAUGUCUCCCCAGUGCCCCACUCAGAAAAUACUUCAAGCCCCGAUGUCUCAGUGCAGCAUGUUGGCAGGCCGUUCCUGCUGGGACAGAGCACUGGGUAGGGGUGGCAGCAGGCACUGCCUGCUCUCCCCCCGAUUGGGAGUGCAUUCUUGGCCUGCCAGGCCACCAGCGAGGAGGCCCAGAGGGACAGGCAGGACUGGGACUUGGAGGGGUGCAGUGGUCACUGGUUUUAUUGUUUGUUUGUUUGUUUGUUUUUAGGUGGAAAUUUCUUUGUGGUUUCUUUGAGAAAGUGUUGAGCUUUAUUCUUUCCCAUUUUCUUUUUUUUUCUGUUUGAGGUUUCCUUACAACUUGUACUCCCAAAAUUAGAAAUGAUUCAGUUGUUUCCUGAUGUUUCCUGGUGAUACAGAUAGGCAUUACUGGUGUUUCAUAAGGCUUGUUCGAAACAGUCUGGUUAACACCAAUGGGACCCUUGGCAAAAUAGAGCCCUUGCAAACUGGCACCUUUGUUUGCAUGUAAAAUGCGAAUCCUCAUUUCUGCUUGAGUUUACACUAACUGCAUACAGUAAGGGAAAAUUACUAGAAAACAUCAGUACUCAGGACUGAAUUAUGUGGAAGCAUUGAAUAUAAUUAAGGAACAUGAGACUAUAUGCAAGGAAUCUCAGUGGGAUAGUCUGAAGAUCAAACAAGCAAUAGUUACUGCUCUCAGAAACAUGAGCAUUUAGCCCUUAUUGGAAGAUUUAACAUCAGAUCAAUUGCAUAAGUUAAGAACAUUAUCCUCUCCAGAGGUCGAAGAGUCCACAUGAGCCUGUCAUGAAUAUAAAUAAAAAUAUUCUUAAUUAAUUCAUUGGGUGUUCUGAAGUUCACAGAAAGUAAGAGUGUCGUCUGAAGCAAGAGACAUGAAAAAACAAACUCCUGACUCAUGGUGAUGUGAAGAAGAAAUAAAUCUACAGAAGAAAACACUGCUGACAAAAAAUCAGGGAAAUUGCUCUGGAAAAAUCAACAGAAAAAUAAUGCAACUUUAUAAAUGAAAGUACAGUUGUAACUCUGCCAGUAAUAGCAUAAUUUGCAGGUACCACUAAAAAAAAAUUGUAGUGGUCAAACACCCAGCACCACCUUAGAAAUCAAAUUACUUUGGGUUUUAUUUCCAUGUUAAUAGCUCCCAUAUCUCAUCAGAAAAGACAAAAGUGAGUAAAAUUAAGGAUUGAGUGUGUAUGCUACAGAUGGAUCUUCAGAAUGUAAAAAGAGAUAAAACUCAAGAAACAGGUACAGUCAUUAAAGAUAGCAUUGAAUUUAGCUCUUCGGAUUCUGAUAUAAGUAAAAAGCAUUUCAAGAAAAGCAAAAAACAACGAGGGAUAAUUAUGGACAGCUGUAAGAAGAAACACAGAGUGAUUUCAAAACCAAAGCAAUUAGAUUUAGAUGUUGAAUUGGGAAGAAUUUUGGGAAAAGGAAGUAAACAGCCAAGUGUGAGGUCUGCUCAAGAAGAGUUGGAAGAGGAAAGGGAUGUAACUAGACCAGACAUUUCAAAAAUAUACGAGAAGAACUUCCAGCAGAGCAAAUCUGAAGAGUCUACUUCAACCCAGUGCUGCCUGUGAAAGUGGUUGCAAGGUCUAUUGAUGAAAUAAUUGCUUCCCUGCAGUCUACUUCUCCAUCUCCCUCAGUCCAGAUGAUCAAAGAACUCCUGGAGAGUGUUCUUGGCCAGAAAUACAACGUAAAAUGGAACUAGAUGAACCAGAACAAGAGCAAUAUUUUUCUCUUGGGUAAAUAUUACUUUUAUAAGAGUUGUAUAUUUUUUUUCCAGCUCCUACAAUGUGUUACAACACAGAAGCCAGACAAAACAAAUGGAUAAAGACAUUAAUGUAUCAUAGAAUAUUCUUCACUCUUCUGCUAGAUGUUUAAUGUCCCUUAAAAAUGAAAAUGAGCCAAUAUCAAAAUACAUUGAAACAUUACAUCUUUUGUAGUGUCAUUUUUAUUAUACUGCUUAUACUCUAAAACAUAUUUUUCUUUAUUCUCCUUUCCCUUCUUAAGCUGACAUAUACCAGUAUGACAGAUGAAAAAUACAUGCGUUUGGAAUAUCAUUGGAAGUAUUGCUUCUUUUAAUUAUUGUUUAGCUUGUGAAGUCUUCAAAAGACAUUUUUUUUAUUGUCAUAGUUAUGUAAAUCAUGUAAGCUGCUGUAAGAGAGUUCCUUCAGUAAUCUUAGGCAUCAGGUAGAUGCUAGAGAAAACUUUCCUAGAUUUUCACCAGAAGUUUGCCAAUUUAUUUGUUAACUAAACAGUUGACUUAGUAUCAGAUGGCUUUCUUGUCCUCUCUAGGCGAGGCUGACAGUUUUGUUUCAGUUCCAAGACAGCUAAAACAUACAGAACUUUACAUUCCCUAAAUGUCAGAUUGACUCUUUUUUGAUUUAGUACAAAAACUAGAAGAGGAAAAAGCCCACCUGAACUAAGUUGAUUUAAAUGUGAAAGUCCAUGAGCACCAGUAGUAUCAAACUGCAUUUCGAGUAGAUUUAUGUCCUCUGCUUUGAUUUCCUUCUGAGACCUAUUUUGUGUCGUUGAGGCAUUUGCAGUGUCUCCACUUUCUGUACAUUUUAUGGUGUAUUUCAAUUGGCAUUGAAAUCAGAGAAGACUUUUCUCAGUGAGGCAGCAUUGGGAUGAUGUCUCUUCAUUGCUUGACUUGUAUUUUAGGGACAUAAUAAUUUGUGAGUUUGGUUGGAAUUUGUCAGUUGAAUUCAAAAAUUCUUCAGACAGAUGUGAAGAGGGUUAAAGAAAUAUUAGACCUGGAAAACUGUUGUUUAACUUACCAGAAAUAAUUAGAAGUGAUUGGUAAUGUGUGAAGAGUUGUGUGGUUUUCUUACUUUUUUAAUACAUUUGUCUUAUGUUCUAGGUAAGAUUUUGAAAGCUUGGCCUCUGCCAAGUCCUGAUACGUGAAAUGCUGAUUUUUGUUGCUUGUAGUGUUAACUGCUGGGCUCAGAGCUUUGAGAAACUGACUUGGGAUAAUGUGGUAUUUAGUUCUUUAUUUCUAAUAUUUGAGCAAUUUAGGUUAAAAAUAAAAUUAAAAUUUGAACCUAG